rnacentral:rRNA from 1 species
CACGUAGGCACCAAGCGUUGUCCGGAUUUAUUGGGCGUAAAGGGCUCGUAGGCGGUUCGGUAAGUCGGGUGUGAAAACCCGGAGCUCAACUCCGGGCCUGCAGUCGAUACGGGGCGGACUUGAGUUCGGCAGGGGAGACUGGAAUUCCUGGUGUAGCGGUGGAAAUGCGCAGAUAUCAGGAGGGAACACCGGGUGGCGAAGGCGGGUCUUUGGGCCGAUACUGACGCUGAGGAGCGAAA